CGCCCCGCCGGCACUCACGCGAGGCGCUGAAAACCUGGAGGGUGGGUGCCGCCUGGCGAGUUAAUUGGGCCUGUGACUGCGUUGAAACUCAUGAGGGCCAUAUGCUCCUUUGGAGACCUCUGAAGAAUACGGCUGCGUUGCACAACACAGGACCAGACUUUCCAUCCUGUAAUUUCUUGUGCUUUGGCCUGUUGUGUGAACCCGGUGACGGAGUGUUGGAAAAAGGUUUAUACGUUCACUCUUUGAAAAAACAUUCCAUUCCCGUGCCCCCCCCCCCCCCGCCAGCUCUGCAUUCAGUUACUUCUGAGCAAGGCAGAUCCUGCGUCUUUCUCAGGUUUCUCAGCCGCCAAGCAGGGGGAUCUUCCCUGUGACGCUCCUCCCUCCCGAGGACGGUGAGCAUGAGAGGCAGGAUGGGUGCUCCCAGCUAGAGAGAGGGGCAGCGCCGAUGGCUCCAGGAGGGCCAGACUGGCUGGGGAGUGCUGAGAGGCUCCCCCUGCAGAGGAGCACACAGAUAGCCUCAAGAAAACAUGUGGCAGCCCUUAAGAAAGCAUCAGCUUAGCCCAGCAAGACAGGAAGGGUGAGGAAGGAACUCAAGAGGGCCCCACCCUGAUUCUCUUAGGUAUGAAAGGGAGGGAGAGAGAAACUUUCAGGCUUUCAAGAUUCUGUUUUUAUCCUCUGCAACAAUAAAACUGAGUUCCAGUAGUUCUUAGGGUGCCUGUUUCCUGACCUGGCCUACCUUGGAGGGCAGAGCUGCUGGUGCCUCGCUCUCUGCCGAGGCCUUUCCUGGACAGGCUCAAGCCCUCAGCAAGUCUGGCAGGGUCAGAGGGGGAGGGAUUAGCGCCCCCCCCCCCAAUCAGCAUGUCUGUCUUGCAGUUCCCUUGCAGGGAGAGCAGUUCCCACUGAGACAGGCCAGAAAACCCUCAUGAUGUUUCAGCCCUACUCUUUCCAAAACCUGCUGGGUAGGGUGCUUUUCUUUUAAGAAGGGGGUUUUGUUUUCUCUUUUGGCAACCAUAUUUUAAGAGCUGUUUUUCUAUGGGCACGAGCCCUCUUUAAAAGAAGCCAUUUCCUGGGGGCUGUUGGCUGGCCGUGGGUGGUCCUCCGGGACUUAGGCUGGGGUGCCAGAGGAGCUGGGGAACCAGCCCCCUAGGGAACGGCUUGUCCAAAGCCCUUUUUAUGUGAACAAGAGUUGCUUCCCACGAAUUUACUGCCCUGGGAAUUGCUUUCACAUGCUGCUUAACCAGCCAUUUAUGCACAAGACCUGCUGGGCCUGGCUACCUUUAACCCUGGCUAGUGCACUGUAGCUUAGCUCUGACAAGAUGGGAGGCCGGUCUCCCAGAAGAUGGGCUUCAAACGAGGGCAAAGCGCUCAUCCCCAACUUAACGAGGUUUAUUGUUUUCACGUUUCGGCAGCUUUCAGGGAUCUUUCGUAGCCCAAUGGCAGGAUAGAAACGAAGUUCCAAAUGAGCCAAAAUAGCAUUUCAGAGCAAAAUGUUUUUGGGAUGAUACAUACUAAAACCUCCUGGCUGAAUUCUGGAGAUGAACCUCUCCUUGGAUUCUGCGUUCAAAAUCACCCGUCAAUGUUUUUAUGGCUUGGAAUUCAACAUAACGCUGAAUCCCUGCAGAGACGUCCGGAGAUUCUGGGCUCUGAGCGGAGCUGGGGGGAGCAUCUGGGAAGGAGGCCAAAGGGCAGACAGGGACACAAAUUUUGCAAGUUCCCCAGGAAAGGUUAAGGGCAGGGAGCACAGAGCUGUAAUUGAGUUAUCCCCUCAGAGGUGUCAGAUCAGCAGAGCAGGCUGCUUGUCUCGCGCGGACAAAUUCCAAGCAGCAGGAGGGGCGCUCCCCUGCGUGGGGGCCUGAAAGGUACCUGCUGCCACUCUGCGGCCUUGAAUUCCCUCCUGCUGGGAGGGCGCUCUGUGCCAAUCUCUGUGCUGGCUGGAGAGGCAGAGACCCUGUCCUACUCCCAUGAAUAGGCUGUUACAACCUCCAGCCUCGGACUCGGUGGCCCAUGGGGGAGAGCCAGGACUCCCAUGGCUGGGACAGGGCAGGAGAGCCCUCUGCAGCUGCUCUUCCUGCCUCCCCAGAGUGCUCCGGGCCCAUUCAGUUUGCUGGUUGCUUCCAUGGAGCAUCUCCACCAGAGAUCACAGCUGCCUGCCUGACACAGAGUUUGCACAGACUGCCUGAUUCACGCCCAGAGCUGCCUUGGGCUUAGUGCGCCAAGCACCACAAACUUGUGGCUCAGCCUGAUGUGCAGACCUGGCCCCUAUGGCUGGUUCAAGAAACCCUGACUGACUAAUCCUGGUUUUGUGUCAUGUGUGAACACAGCUCAUCCUCUUUUGGUCCCCUGGUAGGGAAGAAGCUUAGUCCAGGCAGCCUGGUUGGAGCUGUCCACGGUCCUGCUCCCCCACGCUCCUCUGCCUCUGCCUGACCUCCCUGUCGCCCUGCAGGGCGAGAAGAUUCUUCGGCCCGCCAACCGCCUCAGGGCCGGUGCAGCUCUUGGGAAAGAGGCUGCGAAGGCAAGACCCACCAAGAGAUGGGCAAGAACCCGAGAAGGUAUGUCCUGGCAGCUCCCUGGUGACAGUCUUGGAAAGGCUCGCUCACUGGGGAGGCCGCCUGGAUGAAGCGGCCCCGUGCUGGGGAUGCUCUUCCUCCAGGCAGCGCCUCCUGGGCUCAGAUGCAGCACAGGUUCGUUAGCCUGUGCUGAAAGGAGUCCCAAAAAUUGUGACUUUUAAGUUAACUACUUAAAACAGGAAUAAUUUUUCAAUCAAUAGUGAAAGAUCUGGCUGGAGACCUGCCUGAACCUUUCUUAUGCCACAGCUGCCUUAACUGGACUCCGGCCCUGUGCAGGGUGCCAGACUCAAGGCCUUUUGCCCCUCCCACCUCUAGGUGCUACGAAAAACUUGCAGAAUUCACGGAGAGAAGCAACAAGCACGUCAGGAGAACUGAGCCAGAAGACCCUGUAGAUUUAGGUUGCUCCGUCUCCCAGGAAAGGGAUCUUCCCCGCUCCCAUGGUCAGAGGCAGAGCUCUGCCCUGGAAGGGAAAACUGAAGCUGUGAGGUGCCCCUGAGCACCACACGCCUCUGACCGAGGGGUGAUGUCUGUGGCCUGGUACUGUGGGGGCCAGAAAGAGGAUGGGCCAGGGAGGAUCCAACCUUCUCCCCGGGUCUGGGGUAUCUUACCUCAGGAAGACGUUUGCACUAAUCCUGGGGAGAGAAGCAAGGGUCUCCUUGGGUCUGCAGAGCCUGGGAAGUGUGAGGGGCUCCAGAGUCACACAGCCUGUCUACCCUGAAUUUUGAAUGGAAUUACCUCUGUCUUGGUCAGAAGACCAAGAAGCUCUUUGAGAUCUCCUGAGUUAACUUUUUGGCCAGGAGCUAAAGGCCACAUCUACUGCUGGAAACAGAAGAGAGGUGUAGAUGAUCAAUUCUCCCAACUGGGGGUUGGGAAGAAGCACAGGUUUGCCUUUGGACCAACGGCUGUGAAGUUCUUCAUAAGAACUGGUAAAUUCUCAGUGGUGUGGAGGACUCCAGAUUCAUGGUAAGAAGUGAGGUGGCGAGGAGUUCCAAGAGGAGGUCCGUCUUUGCCAGCAGAAAUCUGAGAGCCGCCAUUUAUUCAUCGCUUCAGCAUGGGCAGGAUGUAGCCCACGGACACAUUGGAGGGCUUUAAAGCCUCGCUUCUGAGGAGGCUCUGAUCUCAGUGGACCCCAGUUCUUGCAGCCCACCUCAUGGGCUCUGAGCCCUUCCCUGCUCCACACACCAUCGCGCAGCUUCGCCUGGCCCAGCUUAGCCAAUACAGCAUGAGGCCGUGGCCUGGGCCUUCUGCCAGGGAAUUCAACUCCAAAGCAGAAAAUUGGGUUGGAGGCUCCGCACAAACUCUCCCUCCAGAAUAGGCAGUCCGGAAUCCACAGGUGGGAAGGCAAGGCCAUGUCCUGACCCGCCUAGCAAAACACGUGGUGCUGGGCAACAUCCACCACCCUUUGAAUAGGCCCUCCCCCAGAUGGGAUCUACAGAAAAAACAAGCAGGGGCAGUUUGUCUCUGACAGGUCCUUCAUACAGGCCUGCCUUGGCCAGGAGAGGGCCUUUCCUGCUCCGGUGCACGAUCCCAACCCAGCUGAGCAGCCUGGGAACUGGGGAGAGAACCCCCCCUUUCCUGCAGGAACGCAUCCCCCAGAUAUCUCUCCUCUCUGUUUCCAUGCAGAUGUUUCCACCAAACUCUUCUCUUUUGUCCCCUGCGCCCUCGCCCAGCAACUGCUUUACAGCCAAUUAUUUCUGCAGGGCUGUGCCAGUUCCAGGGACAAAGGCUCAGGUAUGGUGCCUCGGCGGGCCUCUGACCUUUCUCACUGCUGGACAAAUAGGCAGCCUGAGCGAGAGCGAGCACAAAGGGGCCGGAGGAAACAGCGACCUUGCCGGCCACGGCUACCUGCUGCUCAGCCACAAAGCAACCGCGUCCCAGGGAGCAGGAGAAAGAGCGCCUGGCAACCCAGCCCUCUCUGUUGUUCCCCAAGCAGCUUCUUCAGGCGAGAAAACAAACCCUCCUGGACGAUAACGGAGACAUGCUGUGCGUGGGGGAGAAAAGCCUUGGAAGGAGGGAAAAGGCCAACAUCUGGGCGAACCACAGCAGGACCAGCCCCAGCUGGUGGAUUCAUUCAGCCUUCCAAAAGGCAGAGCAACAGCGAAUGGCGCAGCACCGAGGUAAAAGACCUGGACCAGGCCCAGCCUUCUCCUGCGCCAUUGCGCAAGGGCUGCUCAAACCAACCCCUCUCAUUCACUGAAGAAUUCAGAAGCAGAAUGGGGGGGGCGGGGGCAGGAAAGAGCCACCAAAGGACCAUGCAAGCCCACCUCUGUUUCUGCCUGCUGGGAGGAAGGGAAGGGAAGCAACAGGCUUCAGAGAAAACAGAGUUGAACAAGAGUUUCUUUUGAUAGUCCAUUUGCAGAGACAAGGAGCCUAAUCCGCUUAGAAACCCCCUUGGAGGCCUCUAAUGCAAGCCUAACGGAGGCUCCGAAAGCGACCGUCCAUCCUUGUGGUUUGCCAAUCUGGGCAGGCAGGUUUCUCCCCAAAAACCCGGGCACUGAGCCAUCACCUGCUUCCACACCUAGGCAAGGGGCGUCUUGGGGAACGCGGGUCCAGCAGGAGUCGGCUCCAACAUCCUGGGGACUGCGGGGAGGCUGCUCCCUGUGGGGGAACGGCAGUUGAAAGAACGGCCUUCAGCCACCACUGCCGCCAUUUGACUAAGCAGUCGGGGGACUGAGAGGACAAGAUGAGAAUCUUGUGAGGUCAUCCGGGAUCUGUGGAUUGAGGGCAUCUGGAUCUGGGGAUCCAAAAGAAAUAGGGAGGGUUCUCUGCAGGAAGAGCUUGCCACAUCUUUGCCCCUCCUGGCUUCUCUCAGAGGCUGGAUGCAAGAUGGGGCAAAGGGCUGUUGGAAAGAGAGGGGGGAGCCGCGAUGGAGGUGGUGAUGUGCCCCCUUCUCUGAAGCAGCCCCAUUGCCCCACUGCAACCAGCGUUCACUGAGAUGGUAUUUCAGGUUAUUGUAUUUUGUGUGUUGAUCACGUUGUGAGCUGCCUCCAGUCUAGGAGGGAGGCGCUGUGCAAAUGAUUCUAAUAGGCAGAGGGAAAGAGAUGGGCAGGCAGACAAGGAAGCUGCUGGAAUUUCUGGCGGAAGACAGGAUGCCCAUUCAGCAAGCAAAUAAACCUGGAUCAGCCACCAUGAAGACCUUGCAGCUGGCCCGCAGUCAUGACUUUAAGCAACGGGAACACUGGAAGCUGCUGAGGCCAGAUGGUCCCCAGUUGGGUGGUGGGCCCAGCUCUCUUUGCGUGAGCCUGCAAAGAACAGGGCAGGAAGGGCUGGGAACCUCUCUCUGGAGGCAGGCGGCCUGCAAGGGGGCCAGAAGCACAGAGAAGCAUCGCUGGUGAAGACUGGAACACCCAAGGGGAAGUGGGUGACUCUGUCCUGCUGUCAUUUCUUUUCUCUUGGGCCUCUUCCAGUUUUUCUGCAUCUUUUAAAAGUAUGGUGCCUAGAACCGAGUACAGUUCUCAAGAUGGGAUCUCACCAAACCAGAUUCAAGAACAAUUACUUCUCGGGAAUCUGGAAACCACAGUUCCGUUGAUGUAGCCUAAAACUGCAUUUACCUUUUAGCAGUCACACCAUACUGCUGGCUCAUAUUCAGUUUGAAGUCAACUACUAUUGAAAAAACCUAUUCACAAGUACUAUUACUUUCUGUGAUUUACCUAAGUAUAUAUACUAUAUUCUGUUGAUGCAGCUUAAAACUCUGUUCACCUUUUGUGCACCACAUUACAGUGCUGGUUUAUACUCAGUUUCCCAGAUCUUUUUCACAAGUAGUAUUACCAUUAUCCGAGAACACCCCCACAUCCCAUGCAUUUGAUUUUGUUACCUGGAUGAAGAAUCUCAGCUACAUUUCAUUUUGUAUAGCUAUCCCACACAAUUUUGAGACACUUACACACCUGAUAAGUGUCCCCUCCACCUUUUCCUCCAAGUUUUAAUAAAAAAGAUUGAAGAAUAGCUCUGCUUGGUAUCCCUCUCCAGUCUGAUGUGGAAUCACUGUUGUUUAAGUAUGACUUGUGAGCCAGGCACACGUCCAGGUCAUACUUCCUAGCUCAUCCUUAACCAGCGUGCUAAGCAGAAUAUUGGUGAUGCUUUGUCAACGCUUUGCUAAAAUCAAGCUAUGUUACAGCACUCACACAAUCCACUAAAGAAGUUACACGAUCUAAAUUAGGUAAGGUUGACUUUCUUGACAAAUCCACAAAGACCUCUGGUCAUCGUAUUAUUUUCAAGGUGCUUAAAAUCAACCUCUUUAUGAUCUGCUCUAGAUUCUUCUCAGGUACCAACAUUAUGUUUACUUGCCUGUAGUUCCACAAAUCCUUUUAUUUGUUCCUGUCAUAGACUCCUAUUUAUA